GAUGAACGCUGGCGGCGUGCCUAAUACAUGCAAGUCGAGCGAACAGAUGAGGAGCUUGCUCCUCUGACGUUAGCGGCGGACGGGUGAGUAACACGUGGAUAACCUACCUAUAAGACUGGGAUAACUUCGGGAAACCGGAGCUAAUACCGGAUAAUAUAUUGAACCGCAUGGUUCAAUAGUGAAAGACGGUUUUGCUGUCACUUAUAGAUGGAUCCGCGCCGCAUUAGCUAGUUGGUAAGGUAACGGCUUACCAAGGCAACGAUGCGUAGCCGACCUGAGAGGGUGAUCGGCCACACUGGAACGGAGACACGGUCCAGACUCCUACGGGAGGCAGCAGUAGGGAAUCUUCCGCAAUGGGCGAAAGCCUGACGGAGCAACGCCGCGUGAGUGAUGAAGGUCUUCGGAUCGUAAAACUCUGUUAUUAGGGAAGAACAAAUGUGUAAGUAACUAUGCACGACUUGACGGUACCUAAUCAGAAAGCCACGGCUAACUACGUG
rnacentral:rRNA from 1 species